ACAGCUUAGUGGUAGAGCCUUUGUCUAGCACACAAGAGGAUCUGGGUUCAAUCCCUAGUGUG
rnacentral:tRNA from 1 species